GGAGAAAAGCAGGGGAUCGAAAGACCUUGCGCUCUUGGAGCGGCCGAUGCCUGAUUAGCUAGUUGGUGAGGUAAAGGCUUACCAAGGCGACGAUCAGUAGCUGGUCUGAGAGGACGACCAGCCACACUGGGACUGAGACACGGCCCAGACUCCUACGGGAGGCAGCAGUGGGGAAUUUUGGACAAUGGGGGAAACCCUGAUCCAGCCAUGCCGCGUGAGUGAAGAAGGCCUUCGGGUUGUAAAGCUCUUUCAGCCGGAACGAAACGGUCACGGCUAAUACCCGUGACUACUGACGGUACCGGAAGAAGAAGCACCGGCUAACUACGUGCCAGCAGCCGCGGUAAUACGUAGGGUGCAAGCGUUAAUCGGAAUUACUGGGCGUAAAGCGUGCGCAGGCGGUUUUGUAAGUCAGAUGUGAAAUCCCCGGGCUUAACCUGGGAACUGCGUUUGAAACUACAAGGCUAG
rnacentral:rRNA from 1 species